UACGUAGGGGGCAAGCGUUGUCCGGAAUUAUUGGGCGUAAAGAGCGCGUAGGCGGUCCGAUAAGUCGGCUGUGAAAGUCAGGGGCUCAACCCUUGGAAGCCGGCCGAUACUGUCGGACUAGAGUCCGGAAGAGGCGAGUGGAAUUCCCGGUGUGGCGGUGAAAUGCGCAGAUAUCGGGAGGAACACCAAUGGCGAAGGCAGCUCGCUGGGACGGUACUGACGCUGAGGCGCGAAAGCGUGGGGAGCAAACAGG
rnacentral:rRNA from 1 species